rnacentral:misc_RNA from 1 species
CCAAGAGUAACCCCCUACAUUAAACGUAUCCGACGCAAUAUAUUUCCCGAUCCCCAAUCCUUUCAACAAUGAGUAACCCGUGAUCUUGAACUGGUGGGACCCAUUCACGGUCUCCGUGAUCGACGAGGAAGUGGUCGUCGAAUUAGACGCCGACGACGAUGAAGAAGACGAAGAAAAAGAGGGCUUCGUAAUAUCUCUGAGAAUCCUUCCCAUGCCCCUGAUUGGACCAAAUUAGCGUAAUUGGGCAAGAAUCUGAGAGGAAAGGGAUAGAAAAUCUAGGACUUUGAAGGGGGAAUUGAAAUCAGUAAUUUGUUAAAAAAUUAUUAAAUUUUGUUUUCUAGGGUUUCGAGGAGCAAAUAAGAGAAGAUGACUAUCAUCAAAAGCGAU